rnacentral:tRNA from 1 species
AAGAUUUUUUAAAAAUUAGUCCUAUUUACUUAGGGUUUUGAAAACCCGAAAAAGACAUAUCGUCUUAGGUCUUA